UAGCGUGCAGGAUGACGGCCCUAUGGGUUGUAAACUGCGUUUAUUUGUUGAUAAAGUGGGGAACGUGUUCCCUUUUGCAGGUACCAUCUGAAUAAGGACCGGCUAAUUCCGUGCCAGCAGCCGCGGUAAU
rnacentral:rRNA from 1 species